UUACCUACGGGAGGCAGCAGUGGGGAAUAUUGCACAAUGGGGGAGACCCUGAUGCAGCGACGCCGCGUGAGUGAAGAAGGAUUUCGGAAUGUAAAGCUCUGUCAGCAGGGAAGAAAAUGACGGUACCUGACCAAGAAGCCCCGGCUAACUACGUUCCAGCAGCCGCGGGAAUACGUAGGGGGCAAGCGUUAUCCGGAUUUACUGGGUGUAAAGGGAGCGUAGACGGAAGGGCAAGUCUGGA
rnacentral:rRNA from 1 species